GCCUUGGUAGCUCAGCUGGAUAGAGCACUCGCCUCCUAAGCGAGGGGUCGUAGGUUCAAAUCCUGCCCAGGGCG
rnacentral:tRNA from 1 species